UAAUGACUGUGUUAACUAUGGCACUGUAGCAGCUCAGACCUUAGACAGGUAGUAUUAAUGACUGUGUUAACUAUGGCCCUGUAGCAGCUCAGACCUGAGACAGGUAGUAUUAAUGUCAGUGUUAACUAUGGCCCUGUAGCGUCUCAGACCUUAGACAGGUAGUAUUAAUGUCAGUGUUAACUAUGUCCCUGUAGCAGCUCAGACCUUAGACAGGUAGUAUUAAUGUCAGUGUUAACUAUGUCCCUGUAGCAGCUCAGACCUUAGACAGGUAGUAUUAAUGACUGUGUUAACUAUGGCCCUGUAGCAGCUCAGACCUUAGACAGGUAGUAUUAAUGACUGUGUUAACUAUGUCCCUGUAGCAGCUCAGACCUUAGACAGGUAGUA